rnacentral:lncRNA from 1 species
UUUUUUUUUUUUUUAAACCAUCUCUAAGGAGUUGCUUCUCCUAGGUGCUCUGGCCUUGGCUACUUCAGCCCCACCUCUCCACCUCAUCACUGUUUGCUCCCUUUGCAAGAGCCACGUAUUUCAAAGCCCAAAGAAUACUUCACCAGGAACUCGGAGUUUCCACUGCCGAGCUACUUUUCCUCUCUGGGACUGUGCUGACAGUGGCAGGUGCCUCAGAACCAAGGCUGCAGCCAGGGCCAUCCUCUGAAGUGCUUCCUCAGGCUGCAAGCUCCUCUAGGAUUCUGCCUGCAGCUUUCAUCAUGAGCCCCUCUUCAUAGUCUCCCACCAUCUACCCACCACUACACUUUUUAAAAAUCAAGGUAUAAUUUACGUUCAGUAAGUGCAUAUAUUCUGAGAGUAUGCCUUGAUGAAUGCUAAUAAGUGUGUCAGGCCUGCAUAACUACCACUCUUAAGAAGAGUCAGGAAAUCUCCUUUCUUAGGAGAUUUGCAGAUCCACUCUCUACAGUCAGCCCCUUCCCUGUGGGCCAACUUGACUGGGCUCUCCCAGCCCUGGGUUACCCCACCUCUUCUCCAGAGCCCUUCACCAAUGGAAUCUCAGACUUUACAUUCUUUCUCUCAUCAGAAAGAUCCUGAGAUUCCUUCGUGUUGUCGCUGUAAUCAUUUAAAUCUUUAUUGAAGCCAUGCUCCUGUGAAAACCUUUCCUAGCUCUUCCGUUAUCUAAAUUCUGGUCCCCUGUGUGAUCUGGCCUCCUCUCGGAUACUGCCCACCCAUCAGCCUUAACCUAUUCCAGUGAACAAGCAGUUCGUGCAUACCGAACUGCUUGUUCACUGGAAUGAACAAGUGAGUUUGUGGAUAAGUGCUGUGGUCGGACACUCCCAUCUCUAAGACUCUUUGGCUGGCUAACUUCUAGUCACCUGACAGUGGAUCUGAGAGACUGCCAAAGUGUCUGUCAGUUUGUCUCUCUGGCCACCGGUCACACCCUCUGUUGACUGCACUCCUUCUGAGGCCGACACUUCCAUAUGUCAUAUUUUUUUUUAUCUCAUCGCCUGCUGUGUAGCUUGUCUUCUGUAACUCUUUAGCUAUGCUCAGAGGGACAGAACUAUCCAUUGUGUUUUCAGAAUUUCUUCCUGUGGAAGUCACACUUUUAGUCUAUCCAAGAGCUGUUCUCUUUUUCUAAUAGAGCCUGACCUUAUUGGAGCUUGGAGAUACCUCUGCUGGUGAUUGUUGGGAACAUGGUCAAGUUCAGGGCCUGGGCACGGGGAAACAUAAAGGGGACAUCUGUGAAGGCUUUGCUUCCUCUCACCCUUCCUAGUUCCUCUAGUUUGGAACGCUGUUAUCUGAGGGUGUGGUUUGGAUUGUUAGCAGUCAUUUGUGAUGGUGAGGCGGAGGUCAAAUAAAAGUAUAAUCCCCUAUCCAGAACUAGUAAUAAAUGAGAAACCUAAGCAGAUUCCUCUCAACUUCCCCUUAGCUGAGGCUGUUGACUGUACUGUUGACACCAAGAUAAUCUUCCUUGCCCACUUGACUGGGUUGGAAUCAUCUAGAUGUGGCAUGCCUCUGGGUGUGUACGUGAAGGUGUUUGCAGAGUGGAUUAGCCGAGUGUGAAAGACCCAUUCUGAUUACAACCAGUACCAUACCUUGCGCUGGGGGCCCCGAUUCAGUAAAGGGGAUAAGGGGGAAAGGCAGUUGAGUGUCUUUUCUCUGCUUCUGGGCCCACCACGCUGUGAGCCGCUCAGCCAAACACUGCCUACCCGAAGACUGAGCCUUUGGAGAUGUGAGCGGAGGAAACCCUUCCUGCUUCAAGUUAUGUCAGGCAUUUAAACCACACCAAUGAGAGAGUCAGUUAAGAGGCAGACUCACUGGAUUUGAAUUUCCCGUUCUGGGAGAGUGCCGGCUCUCCCCUGGACCAAGGUGUUUAUCUGCUUCCCUUGAAGGGCAACACCCAUGUCUGUUUCUGUUUUUAACACAGGGUCACAUUCUGUAGACCAGGAUGGCCCAGAACUCUCAGAGAUCUGCCUACCUCUGCCUCUGGAGUCCUGGGAUUAAAGGCAAUGCACAACUGCACCUACUGAGAGUAAACUUUUUAUACUGUGAUGUAAUUAUAGAGCCUUCACACUUGCGUGUGUGUGGGGGGGCGUGUUUGUGCGUGGGUGUAUGUGCACAUGUAUUUGUGUGGAGGCUAAUGACUGUGGCUGCCUUAUGUGCUGUUUCUCAGGACUUGGUUUUUAGAUGGAGUGUCUCAUUGACCUUGGAACACUGAUGGGCCAGGCUGGCUGACCAAGGAGCCCCAGGGACACACCUGCUUCUCCAUCUCAGUGCAUGGAUUAAAAGUGUACUGUGCUGUGUCCACCUUCUUAACUGGGUUCUGGGGUUCAAACUCAGGUUCUCAUGCUCGUACGGCAAACUCUUUGCCAACUGAGCCAGUUCCUCAGCGCCCUGAACCUGUGUACUGAAUGGGACAUGCCACUGAAUAUUCACAAUGGUCAGGACCUCCAGCCACCAAGCCACACCAUUCCCAUGUGGUUCCUGGAAUCAUCUCCCUCUUUGUUUCUCAGCCUUCUUGGCCUUCCUUUAGCAAAGACAACAGAGCAGUUGACUCUUGGCUCUGCCCAGGAUCUCCCUGUGGCUACUCUUUCUGCUUUCCCAUCCACUGGGACUAGAAGGAACUGGUUUCAGAUCUUAAAUUGACUUUUCGGCAACCAGAAAAAGGAGCUUCUAAAGACAAAUUGUGUAGAGGGGCUGGAGAGAUGCUCAGCAGGUGGGGGCACUUGCUGCUCUCGCAGAGGACCCAGGGUCAGCUUCCAGCACCCACACAGUGACUCACAAUCAUCAAUGACUCCAAUUCUAAGAAAUCCUAUGCCUUUUUCUGUCCCCUACCCACACACAUGUAGUACAUAUAAGCCGGCAGGGUCACACACAAACACAUGCACUUUUUAAAAAGAAAACAAUAAAAAGUUUAUAGAAAAGUUAGAAGCUAGAUUAUUUAAAUCCUUGAUCAAGAUUCCACAGAACAUUGGAACUUGAGAGGUAGAGGGGAGAGCAUCAAGAGCUUGAGGAAGUUCCAGGUCAGCCUGAGGCACGUGAGACCCUAUAUGGUAAAAAGAAGGUCACACAGAAACAAGAGCCCGCAGCCAGGUCUUCCCAGGCAGCAGUCUUCAUGGUCUUCAUGCCCUAACACAUGACCUCUGUUAGCCUUAAAGAUGUCAAGAGGUAGAGUGUGCUGGAGGCAGGCUGCGCAGGCAGACGGCUGUGAAAAUGUACAUCUUUCAUCUCCUACAAGGCAGUAUAGGGAAAUGGAGCUAUUGUCACCAAGACCAUCUCUUCUAGAAGCCAGACCUGCAGGAGCUUUAUGACAGGACCAUUGCCAGGAAAUACAGGACUGUCGUGAGGACACCUAUGGACACCAGGAUUUACCAGCUUGGCCAAGCAUUCUAAGAGUGGAGCCGAGAAUGAGCUACACCAUCGAGCCUUUUCUUCUUCUUAUGGGCUUCUCUUCUUCUUCCUCCAGUUCCCUCUGUUUUCUUUUCUACACAGUUAGUAACUCAGUGUCUUGCGAAUCUAAUCCUGUUCUGCGUUCUGGCUCUUUAGUGGCUCUGAUCUAAUGUCUUUGGCUUUUAUUUAUCAUUUGUUUGUUUGUUUAUUGUAGGUUAAAACAGAGUAUUGCUCUUUGCCCCAAACGUUUGAUUCUUUACCUCGGCCUGCCUAGUGCUGGGUUUAUAGGCACUCAAGCAAAUCCAUACAAAAUGUCAGCUCUGUGUGGAAUAAAAAGUGCUGGAGGUCGAAGGCAGGGUCUCACACAAGCUAGGUACAAUUCUACCUCCAAGUUACAUCCUCAGCCCAUGCCUGACUUUUAAAACCU